GGAUCAAAAAAAAAAGGAAUGCGAUAAAAUGCACAAUGAAAUAGCCGAUGUUGUGUUUUAUGCAUGAAUAUGUAUGUAUGUGAUUAUGAUGAUAAAACAGCAUAAAGAAUACAAAUAACAAAGAUUAGAAUCAUCACUACAAAACAUUCGGCUUAUCUCAACAAUAUGGAAAUAUCCACUGGAGAUUUUGCUAGGGAUGAAAAUAAAUCAUCUAGCUCAU
rnacentral:lncRNA from 1 species